UAGAGCAAUGGUGGCCUCUCUAAUAUAGUGUCAUAGGCCCUGUCUCUGCAAUGUAUUGAGGAGAGCUUACAAAAUCAAACAGUGCACUUGCUUUCUUUCUUAUAGAAAUUGAAGUGGAGCAGCUGCGGCCUGGUGCUACAGUGGGAAAGACAGGAAUACUAUUUGCGGAAAGCCAUUGCGGAGUUACGGUUAAGUCCAGUCCAACUGUCUGGCUUCGGAAUUACCAGCCAUCAGAGAGAAGUGAGAAGCGCUGUGUACAGAGCACGAGUCAGGGCCAACCAGCAUGCCAAGAAAAGUAAAGAGAGCCUUGGUUGCACCUCAAAUAAUCCCAGAGACAUUCCAUGGUAUUAAAGCUGCAAGUGCGAACCCACAAACAGCGACUGGCACCAUCACACCUCUGCACUUUUCCGGGGAGCUUCGAUUCCCAUUGCAAGAGAAAGUGUUACUGCAUCUCUCGGUGUUGUUUCGCUGCCUGUCUUUCGCUCGCUCUCUUUCCCAGGGACACAUUACUGUAACUGGCGCAACUACGCCACUCAGUUGCUGUUUCAUUCACUUUAUGGGGAAUAACUAACGUUUGAUAUAAUGCCACCCCAUAUUGAUGGGAUCUUAUCAACUGGAUUUAAAGGCUUUAAUUUUACUGUAUAAUAUUAGAGAUACGUGACAUUCAAAAUACUAAUCGUCUUAUUUAGGAAAAAAGUCUGUGUAAUCUUUCAUAAUAUAAGCCCCAUUCAGCCUGGAAAUGUCACCUAAGCCUCUUGGCAUACGUCCCAGCGAUUAUUGCUAGAUUCCAAAGGAACUUAGUUGCUGGCACGUAAUUAUUAUCAUUACUUAAACCUGUCUUUCCUGUUCUCAGUGAUUUACAAAAACAAACGAAAACAAUCGUUUAAGAUGGAGGUUCCAAAGACUACUAUUGCUGCAAAAUAUUUAUCUAAAAGAUGCUCUGCGACGUGUUUGGUAACUUGUUUUGACACCAACCUGGCACUCCAACUGCCAUAAAUCUGUGCGUAGAAUUCCAUUAUGUUUCCCAUAGAAAGGUAUCCAAGUAUUAAUGUAUAACGUUACAAUUAUUCGCGCAAAGCCAGGGAUCUUCUGUUUUUAUUGCAAUGUUAGAUACAUUAGGGUGCGUUUUAAUCGCACGCCGUUUUUCAAGGCGCAACAUCUAUCAUGUUAAACUAAUUUCACAAAACAACAUUGUUUAAAAAGCUGUAGAAAGCGGCUGUAUCCCACAAUCAAACACUGAAGUAACAAGUUAUUCAUCGGAUAAUUUGUAAAUUGGGAAACAAACAUAUGGCCUUGUUCUAAAAACGUUUUAUGUUAUUUAUGAAUAUUUCAUGUAUUUUUGGAUUGUGGGAUCAACACAAAGUAAGCCGAAUCUGUUGCAGCACGGUGCAUUGAUUAUAGCAGUUUAAAGAUAAUACAUGCAUUGGUGGUAGUAUAAUACACAACCAAAGUUAUACCCUAUUACGGGAUUUGGUUCAGCCGGAUAGUACAGUGUAAAAUGUAACAUAUGCGCCUAUCAAAACUUACACGCGGAGGGUUUAGGGAUUUGUUAGUGAGUUAUCUAAAGUUCUGUUUCGAAAUGCACACUGUUUCUGAAUGGGAAAAAUAUCAAACCGAUUUAUCCACAAAUCACAGAAUUUUGCUUUUUAAAACAUUAAAAUAAAUGCAGUAAUAUUGUAAUUUUCCUUUUUGUGGCCAGUGAAAUGGAAGCGGGAUUUUUUGAGCCCGCGGUGCUGCUUUUCAGAGGAUUGAUUUUAAAACUGACAUAUUUAUAUUUUUAUUAAUAAACACUAGGAGUGUUAAACAUUUGUUAGUGAGAAAAUAGACAUGUUAAACUAAUUUUUCUGUUUUAUUUGUCUUGCAAUUGCAUUAUUUGUUCCAUAAAAUAAGCUAUCCAAUAUUGACAAAACUCCUGAAUGUUUUUGAAGUGUUUUAUUGUCUGUUAACCGUAUAAUCAUGUCACUGCUGUGAUAUCAUUCAAUUGUUCUCCAAAACAUUCGGUUAAUUUUUAAAACUCCGGAAGUAUAUAACUUUUUGUACUUUUGGCAUCUAACAUUUCAUAAGCAAAACUUUUAACCGUAUAUUUAACUAUAUCCGCAGGAUACAACAUAUACAUGUGAAACUGUUAGCUGCGUAUUUAAUACUCGGCAUUUUUAUUUACAUUUUAUUUCAACAUUUCCAUAAGGUAUGCGUUUGUGGGUUAGCAUGUGAUUCUGAUACAGUGGCUGGUGGAAUAUUCAGAUAGUAUUAAAGCAUAAAGUUUAUCUCUUAUUAAAAGAGGAACAUUUAACUCAGUCCUCUAAAAAAAUCUAUUCUAACUCCGAGUACCCCCUUCCCACAAAAAAAUCACAGCACCAAUGAACGUGUAAAGCUUGCACUUUUGUAUUUAAUGGGCAAUGUACACAGAUAAAUUACGGAGAUCAUUGGAUUUGAAAUUUGAAACCAAUUGAUACUGUCAAUUGUUAUUUGUUAAUUUAAGUGUUAUUUGGAAUAUUGCAGAAAUAUAUACUGUUUGGCACAUUUCUCGUUUUACUAAAUAGACUUGAACUUAUUUAAAAUG